GAGAACAACCCCAUUCCCAUUAGGUAAUGGAUUCCAUUGGUUCUAUCAUCAGUUUUUAUGUAUUAUUAUCACAGGCGACAAAAAUAUCCUCUGAUGGUUUCAGGUGUCUGAUACACCUGGUUGCUGGACAGAAAAUUGGUAAUAGAUAUUUGUUUGUUCUUUUGUGUACAGUGGUACCUUGGGUUACAGACGCUUCAGGUUACAGACGCUUCAGGUUACAGACUCCGCUAACUCAGAAAUAGUACCUCGGGUUAAGAACUUUGCUUCAGGAUGAGAACAGAAAUUACACGGUGGCAGUGUGGUGGCAGUGGGAGGCCCCGUUUGCUAAAAUAGUACCUCAUGUUAAGAACAGUUUCAAGUUAAGAAUGGACCUCCGGAACGAAUUAAGUUCUUAACCCGAGGUACCACUGUAUUACUCUUCUUCUUCUUCUUCUUCUUCUUCUUCUUCUUCUUCUUCUUCUUCUUCUUUUUCUUCUUCUUCCUCCCCCUCCUCCUCCUCUUCUUCUUUUCCUGUUUAAAAUUUGGUCCUGCAUUUAAACAGGAGUGAUCUUCAGAGACUGGACCUACAUCUUGAAUGGAAUUUUCCUUUAUUUUCAGACCAGAUAAACACCAAUAUGCUGGUUUGCACCCAUCACUAGUUUUGAUGUAUGCUAUAGUAAUAUACCAUAGUUUUGCAGAAGGGAAAACAAAUUGGAUCCAUAGGAAGUCAACCAUAACUUCAGAGCUGAUGGUGUUUGAGGCUUUAAUAUUGGGCUAGUUAGAGCAUCUUUGGUUUCUGAGGCAUUAAAACAACUUCUAAUUGAAUAAACCUUGAGAGUAAAAAUGAGAUUUUUAUUGAUUGGGGAGAGAAUGGGGCCUGGGAAGCCAAAUACAUUUUUACGCACAUAUAUAGUUCAAAGGGAACAGAACUGCUCACAGCCUGCUCUCUUCCUUAACCCACUCCUGAGCUAGCUGCUGGCUGUUCAUCACUUCCAUGCUGAUUCGUACAAUAGCUCACGCUUGAAGGUGGCCAAUAAUUCAAUUAGGCUGACUGAAUUCACAGUUGUGUUUUAUCUUAAUAAUACAGUACUUGGAGCUGCAAUUAUUUCCGUUGCCUCUUGUAAAAAAAAAAGAAAAAAGAGUCACAUACUGAAAGAAGAAGCUGUCAAAAUAAAAUGAGUGGCAUCUAUUAAUUGCAUCAUACAAAAGGCUAUUGAAAUGCUAUUCUUUCAGAAGGAAAAGCAGAGAGAGAGAAAACACGCUAUCAGCCUCUAACAAACGCUAUGGAUGGAGAAGGGCAAAAGGCCGACAAGCUCAAUAGCUGAGUUUAAAACAAAAAUCACUCUGUGGUAUCAGUUAGCAUGCUUGGAUUUCUGUGAAGACAUGCUGGUGCCUACCUGCUUGCACCCCCAUGUUGAUGGGGCGGGCUCCUUUUCAACCCAAGGGUCACACUCCUUCAUGGGCAACAUUCUGGGGCUGCAUACCAGUGGUGGAUGGGAUCUAGGGAUCAGGAAAAACAUUGAUUCACUUCAUAUUUAAAGAUGAACUUACUUAAUUUGUAGUUCCCAGAACUGCUUGUGAAGGUAAACACAGCCAUUUUUCAAAAUUUGCACUUUUCUGAAUUUCCCAGUGCAGUUCUUCAGCCAAGGAAUCUGUUCAAAAAUGCUUAUACCAGAGGGAAAUGUGAGUAUAAGGGCACAUUAGUGAAAACAUAAGAAAUGUCUUAUUUUUUUGGGGGGGGGGGUAAAAAAAGGGGGGCAUGAAUUAGGCAAAAUUGCAUACAAUCAUGUGUUUAUGAGGAAAAAUUCACACUAAAAUGCUGAUGAGUUUUGAGGGGGGCUUAAUUUUUUAAAAUAAAAUAAAUCACAAACUGAUGUGGAAAUGUGGAGACCUAAACUGUGUUCUGACUUCUGUCAGUUUCUCCUUUUCCUAGUCUUCAGUUUAUCCAAACAUCCCUAGGUGGGGUCAGUCAGAUACAGAAGUGGGCACAACAGUGGGUGUGAUUCUGACCUUUGUACCACGUGUUACAUUCCAGUCAUGCAAAUGUAAGACAUUUCUGCACACAGGUGCACACCCACACAUCUCCAUCCUCCUUUCUGGCAAGCAAAAGGCAUUGUCAUGGUUUAAGGGCACAUUCUAGACAGACAAAAGCAUUGAAGGAUGGUGUGGUCUGUGGGACGGGUGUGGCUUGGAGUUACAAGGGCCAACAAGAGAGACAUAUCCAUAUUUGGUCACCAGGCCUGAGCCUCCCCAGCCCAGUGUACACCAUUUUAUACAUUCUUUCUCUAAAUACGUUUUGUGUGCUUUUCAAUGUACAGUGGUACCUCCGGUUGUGCACAGGAUGCAUUCUGGAGCUCCGGUCGGAUCCUGAGGAAUUCGCAACUGGAGGUGCCACUUCUGCGCAUGCGUGCGGCACAGUAGAACACUUCUGCGCAUGCACACGGUGCAUAGAGCACUUCUGCACAUGCGCGCAUGGCUAAACCCAGAAAAAUACUUCCGGGUUUGCCGCGUUCGCAUCCUGAAGGAUACACAACCAGAGGUGUGCUUAUCCAAAGGAACCAAUGUAUUUUCCCCUAAAUCCACAUUGGUUUGUGUGCUUUGGGAAACAAAACCAUGCCACAAAAUUCAUGGCAGUGUGUGAUAUCAUUCACUGUGCUCCAAUCUGCAGGUGUCUGAGGCAAGAUGUGGACCAAAUGAAUUUCUCCUCCUUUUCUGUUUGCAGGAUAACUAAUUACUUGGGAUUUAUAGCAUCUUCACAUGUAGCUAGUCAUACGGCAUAGGCUUAAAUAUAUUCAGAUUUAAAUACAUUCAGAUAUAAAGCUCUGUGCCUGAAUAGCAACUGUUUCUGAAAUUUUCUUUUAUUCAUGGCAGGCUUGUGAUAAAGGAAACAGGUUCAACACUGAACUUCUCAGCAAAGUCUCUGUGCAGCUUUGUUAUAAAAAAAAGAGAGAGAGAGAGAGGCUGCAUUCAUGAAUAAACAAAAUCCCCAUGAUGCCACAGUGAGUGAACACCAGCCGAUAGGAUAUUGCAGACAUAUCACUCCUGACAGGGCUAAGCAAUAGGUGAUAGAGAUAAGUGGGGUUGGAAUAAAAUGUGAUUAAUCCAGCCUUUUUGAUUCUGUUUUGAUUUUGAAAAACACAGAGCCAGCUAUUCAUCUUCUGUCUCUGGAAGGAGUAAAUCAGCUGAUAAGCGAAAGUGAAAUAUAAGUGAGGUGCUGAAGAAGUCAAAUGGCCAUGUGUUCAUAAACUGCUUAUGCAAAUCUGGAGAAUGGGAUUAAGAAGCCAUUGGGAAAGGUUGCCCAAUCUUAGUGACCAUCAGAAUUUAUGCAGAUAAGCACACUGGAGGGAAAUGAUGAUGCAAAUAACAAUCAUACGAACAGGCAAAGUAAAUGAAAGAGCAAAAAAGAAUUUAGAUUAGUAAGCCCAGGCUAUUAUACCACUGAAAAAGUAAGGUCAGCUCUAGGACCAAAGAAAGCUGGUAGUUUAUGUUUUCCUUUUGACUUAUGCAUUACCCGUCAAGUGAUAAGGUUUAAGAGGUGUUCAGAAAGUUUAGCUGAAAUAUUGAAGAAAUUGUUGCCCAGUGGGUGAAAUAAUAUUAUCCUCCUUGAAUGAUUUGUUGGUUGAUUAGCCAGAUUUUAAUUUUUUUUAAUUUCACACCUGCAAAAAA